GUCCGGCUGGAAGGGGGGCCGUUACACUGUAAGAGAGUGAGUAGCAGGUCUCACAGUGAACCGGUCUCUUUUCCUGCUGUGUCAUGCUACUCC
rnacentral:pre_miRNA from 12 species